GCUCUUCCGGUCCCUUCUAGAAGCGAGGGCAGCUACAUGCUAAGAGGAAGAGAAAACCAGGAGAAAACCUCAGAGUUUACCUGUGAAAAGGAAAAAAACAGUUGGAGCACUUACCCACUGGAGGUCCGGAGCCAAGUGACUGAACGAAGGAGAGAGUUACGUCGGUAAGACGAGUCAAUUAUCCGGCGGAGAAAAAAACCUUGUUGACGCUUACCGUCGUCGUCUAUGCUAAUGCUAGCUCUGUGCCUAACAGGCUAACCACUUGGCUUUCACCCAGAGAGCCGCGGCAAGGUCCGACAUCGGCGUGCUCCGCCUUGAUACACAGAGAGCAACGGUCAGGUUUUUUGGAGGACUGAAGAGUCUGAGGUUCAGGACAAACUUCCUGCUGUAACAGAUGGCGAGCCAACCACCCUGAAGAAAGAUCAGCACCGAGAAGAUAUCCACGUACCCACUCAUUCACACACACAUUAUACAUUUACAUUACACUACAAAGACCUCUGGAAUCAGGUGAACUUGCAAUAAUCCUACAACAGGAAAACCUGCAACAACUCCUAUUUUACUUAAGGGCCCCAACGGACAAUUUUUUGUUUCAAGUGUGCACACUGGGUUUUUCUUAUUGUCUUACUGUUUGGGUUAUUAUUUUGUAUUCUGUACAAAUCCGACAACUUGUUUUAUCCACUGUUAAAAAUUAUACGAGUGGCUACUCAACUAUUACCCCUGCGAUUGCCUCAU
ensembl:lncRNA